AUACAGAUCCUUGCAACAUAGUGAAUUACAAAUAUAUCCCCACAAAGUUCAAUUUUUAUAUAUUGUCCUGGCAAAAGCCCUAAUGCUUUCAAAUAUGCCCCUGCCAUUAGAAUUCGUUAAAAAAUUUUAGUUAAUCAUAGGUUAAAUACUUAAGUCUGGUUAAUGACAUUUUUACCCAUUUUAUAUUAUAUUAUGGCUAAAUUACAUAAAAUCUUUCUGUCAAUACUCGUUUUUUCACUUCCCCUGUCAUUCAAAUGCCUACACUUUGCCCUCUUGAAAAAUAAAAAAUAUGCACCGAAGGGUAUGGUGUGACAAAAUAACCAAAUUAUCCUCAUCUUCUUCAUCUCCUCCUCCCCAAUCUUGCUCAUCCCGUUGGUAAAGGAGGGCGAGGGCGUGUGUCUGGGAAUGGAUAGAGAGGUAAGUGAAAGCGAGGCGGCGGAGGGCGUGGUGGCGGUAAAGGACGAGGCGGCGGCCGAGGGCAUGUGUGUGGGCAUGGAUUAGGAUUUCAAGAGUAUUUUUGGUAUAAAAAAUAAGAUAUAAAUGAAAUCCUAACGCAUUACUGGCGGCGGGAGUUGAAGCAAAUAUUUGUUAUUUUUUAAGGGGUAAAGUGUAGGUUUUUGAAUGACAGGAGGAAGUGAUUUAAUAGAAAGUUAACGGAUGUGCUAACGGAAAGAGAAAAAUAAAACCAUAUGGUACUAAAGUAAUACACUUUAAACUAUAGAGUAUUAAAGUGAAUCAGUAUGAAACCACAUAGUGGUAUUUGAAGCUUACCUUUUUUAACGCUAAAUAUAGAAAAAUCCCCCUUUAAUACCCUUCUUUUCAUCUUUUACCCCCCCAAAAUUUCAGUUUAAUGCAUUUAGACCCUCUUCGUCAAGAUUUCAUCACUAUUCAGUCUAUUUUUUAUAAUUUAUAUUGAAAAUAUUUUUAAAAAUACCAAAAAUAUAAUAAAAAAAUUAUUUUUUUUCUUAUAGAAUAGGUAAGGGCAAUUUGAUUAUUUUGCCCGCUCAUUAAUGUCGUAACUUUCUGAAAAUAUUUUUAAAACUUUAAAGAGGACAAAAUAUAGGUGUUUGAAAGUCAGAGGGGAAAGCAAAAAAAUCAGGUAUUUACAAGUUUUUUUGGGUAAAAUGUACAUAACUUAUUUGAAUUAUAGAUUAUUUUGAAUCGGUUAUCUAAUCUUUCAAAAUUUUGAUUUUACAAUCCAAUCAUUCAAUUUGUUUGAUUUGUGUCGAUCAAUUAUAUUUUGACUUUAAAAUUUAAGCUAAUAAUUUAUUUUAAUAAAUUUAUUGUUGCGAGAUUUAAGUAUGCGAACUAAAUUUAUAAACAUAAACGACACAGUAAAAUUUUAGAGUCAAAAUUUUCUUGAUUAACUCAAAUCAAACAAAUUGAAAGGUUGACAGAAAAAUCAAAAUUUUGAA
rnacentral:lncRNA from 1 species